GGGUCCGCUGCCCACUCUUGCAGUUCGAAGCGGACAGAAGGGAACUCGCUCCCGGAUGUUAGCGGCGGACGGGUGAGUAACACGUGGGUAACCUGCCUGUAAGACUGGGAUAACUCCGGGAACCGGAGCUAAUACCGGAUAGUUCCUUGAACCGCAUGGUUCAAGGAUGAAAGACGGUUUCGGCUGUCACUUACAGAUGGACCCGCGGCGCAUUAGCUAGUUGGUGGGGUAAUGGCUCACCAAGGCGACGAUGCGUAGCCGACCUGAGAGGGUGAUCGGCCACACUGGGACUGAGACACGGCCCAGACUCCUACGGGAGGCAGCAGUAGGGAAUCUUCCGCAAUGGACGAAAGUCUGACGGAGCAACGCCGCGUGAGUGAUGAAGGUUUUCGGAUCGUAAAGCUCUGUUGUUAGGGAAGAACAAGUGCGAGAGUAACUGCUCGCACCUUGACGGUACCUAACCAGAAAGCCACGGCUAACUACGUGCCAGCAGCCGCGGUAAUACGUAGGUGGCAAGCGUUGUCCGGAAUUAUUGGGCGUAAAGGGCUCGCAGGCGGUUUCUUAAGUCUGAUGUGAAAGCCCCCGGCUCAACCGGGGAGGGUCAUUGGAAACUGGGAAACUUGAGUGCAGAAGAGGAGAGUGGAAUUCCACGUGUAGCGGUGAAAUGCGUAGAGAUGUGGAGGAACACCAGUGGCGAAGGCGACUCUCUGGUCUGUAACUGACGCUGAGGAGCGAAAGCGUGGGGAGCGAACAGGAUUAGAUACCCUGGUAGUCCACGCCGUAAACGAUGAGUGCUAAGUGUUAGGGGGUUUCCGCCCCUUAGUGCUGCAGCUAACGCAUUAAGCACUCCGCCUGGGGAGUACGGUCGCAAGACUGAAACUCAAAGGAAUUGACGGGGGCCCGCACAAGCGGUGGAGCAUGUGGUUUAAUUCGAAGCAACGCGAAGAACCUUACCAGGUCUUGACAUCCUCUGACAACCCUAGAGAUAGGGCUUUCCCUUCGGGGACAGAGUGACAGGUGGUGCAUGGUUGUCGUCAGCUCGUGUCGUGAGAUGUUGGGUUAAGUCCCGCAACGAGCGCAACCCUUGAUCUUAGUUGCCAGCAUUCAGUUGGGCACUCUAAGGUGACUGCCGGUGACAAACCGGAGGAAGGUGGGGAUGACGUCAAAUCAUCAUGCCCCUUAUGACCUGGGCUACACACGUGCUACGAUGGACAGAACAAAGGGCUGCAAGACCGCAAGGUUUAGCCGAAUCCCAUAAAUCUGUUCUCAGUUCGGAUCGCAGUCUGCGAACUCGACUGCGUGAAGCUGGAAUCGCUAGUAAUCGCGGAUCAGCGUGCCGCGGUGAAUACGUUCCCGGCCCUUGUACACACCGCCCGUCACACCACGAGAGUUGCAACCCCCGAAGUUCGGUGAGGUUACCUUUAGGAAGCGCAGCCGCCAAAGUGGCUGU
rnacentral:rRNA from 1 species